UACGUAGGGUGCGAGCGUUAAUCGGAAUUACUGGGCGUAAAGUGUGCGCAGGCGGCCGAGCAAGUCGAGUGUGAAAGCCCCGAGCUUAGCUUGGGAAUUGCGCUCGAAACUACUUGGCUGGAGUGUGGCAGAGGAAGGUGGAAUUCCACGUGUAGCGGUGAAAUGCGUAGAGAUGUGGAGGAACACCAAUGGCGAAGGCAGCCUUCUGGGCCAACACUGACGCUCAUGCACGAAGGCGUGGGGAGCAAACAGG
rnacentral:rRNA from 1 species